AAAAAACACAUAAAUCUCAUUAUGAUACCUCAUAAUAUUCAAUUAUCAACCCUGUGAAACAUAUAUGAACAAAAGUUAUGUAUUUAAUCCGAUGAAUGUUAUGGGAUUUGCAGAUGUGAAAAUUUAGCCACUGUUCCAUAGCGGAAUCCUCGUGAUGGCUAGUUUGACUCUUAAAUCAUCGGUGUAUUUGGAAAUAAAUUAUAGUUUGAAGACGUGAAUCAUAAAACUUUGUAUAGGAUAGUAAAAGAAUACAUAAACUUCAUUGCAAGCUGAAGUCAAUGGAACAAGAUCGGAAGGACCAUCCAGAAGACUACCCAGAAGAAUUAAUUUUUCAUAUCUAAAUUAAUCGGUUAUCCAAUGUAAUUAAUGCAUCGUUUAUUCACACAAAUGCCGAUAAUGUAUCAAUAAAGUAUUUUUUUUAAAUUAUGA